CCCGUAGUUGACGACGUGUGUUCAGUGAAAUCGAGUAGGGCGGGACACGUGAUAUCCUGUCUGAAUAUGGGGGGACCAUCCUCCAAGGCUAAAUACUACUGACUGACCGAUAGUGAACCAGUACCGUGAGGGAAAGGCGAAAAGAACCCCUGUGAGGGGAGUGAAAUAGAACCUGAAACCGUGUACGUACAAGCAGUAGGAGCAGGCUUUGUCCUGUGACUGCGUACCUUUUGUAUAAUGGGUCAGCGACUUAUAUUCAGUGGCAAGGUUAACCAUCUAGGGGAGCCGUAGGGAAACCGAGUCUUAACUGGGCGUUCAGUCUCUGGAUAUAGACCCGAAACCAGGUGAUCUAGCCAUGGGCAGGUUGAAGGUUGAGUAACAUCAACUGGAGGACCGAACCGACUAAUGUUGAAAAAUUAGCGGAUGACUUGUGGCUAGGGGUGAAAGGCCAAUCAAACCUGGAGAUAGCUGGUUCUCCCCGAAAGCUAUUUAGGUAGCGCCUCGGACGAAUACUACUGGGGGUAGAGCACUGUUAAGGCUAGGGGGUCAUCCCGACUUACCAACCCUUUGCAAACUCCGAAUACCAGUAAGUACUAUCCGGGAGACACACGGCGGGUGCUAACGUCCGUCGUGGAGAGGGAAACAACCCAGACCGCCAGCUAAGGUCCCAAAUUACUACUAAGUGGGAAACGAUGUGGGAAGGCUCAGACAGCCAGGAUGUUGGCUUAGAAGCAGCCAUCAUUUAAAGAAAGCGUAAUAGCUCACUGGUCGAGUCGGCCUGCGCGGAAGAUGUAACGGGGCUAAGUAGUAAACCGAAGCUGCGGCAAUAUACUUUUGUAUAUUGGGUAGGGGAGCGUUCUGUAAGCGGUUGAAGGUGUGUGGUAACGCAUGCUGGACGUAUCAGAAGUGCGAAUGCUGACAUGAGUAACGAUAAAGGGGGUGAAAAACCUCCUCGCCGGAAGACCAAGGGUUCCUGUCCAACGUUAAUCGGGGCAGGGUAAGUCGACCCCUAAGGCGAGGCCGAAAGGCGUAGUCGAUGGGAAACGGGUUAAUAUUCCCGUACUUCUUACAAUUGCGAUGGGGGGACGGAGAAGGCUAGGUGGGCCUGGCGACGGUUGUCCAGGUUCAAGUGCGUAGGCU
rnacentral:rRNA from 1 species